GUAGGGAAUCUUCCACAAUGGGCGCAAGCCCGAUGGAGCAACACCGCGUGAGUGAAGAAGGGUUUCGGCUCGUAAAGCUCUGUUGUUAAAGAAGAACACGUAUGAGAGUAACUGUUCAUACGUUGACGGUAUUUAACCAGAAAGUCACGGCUAACUACGUGCCAG
rnacentral:rRNA from 1 species